CGGCAUAUCCAAAUUUGGUGCAUGUGGCUCGAAAGCCCUAGGAGGAGUUACUCUUGAUAAAUUUUUGUCUAAGCUUAAACAGGAAAACAGAAUGUUGGCUUCUACAAAGCGACAUCAUAAAACUAAAUGCUGUAGAGAAUGUUUGAGGUAAUAAUAAGGUCCUAGUUUACUUUAGAAAUUUAAUUAUCUGUGCUGCGCUUCCUCUGAAGAAAAUUCCUGGAUAGGGAAUCAUGAGGCCAUGAGGGUUUUUAUAAAUCAUCUUUUAUUUAACACAGGUUGCUGUUUUCCUCUGUAAACACACACACACACACACACACACACACACACACACACACACACACACACACACACACACUUACACUUAAAUUCUCCCAUCAGAGUUGAUCAUGCGAGUGUAUUUUUCACUCCUACCUUCCACGACAGCACAUCAAAUUCUUACACAGAUUUCAGCUUGAUGAAAACUGUAGAUCCCCGGACAUACGAUGUUGUCUGUUACUCUUCACUGUGGUUUUUUUGGUGUUUUACUCCAUGACAUCGAUGUUUCUUUGUCUCAUCUCUGGGUCUUUAUCUAAAACUGUUUGGGGCUGUAUUAACUGUUAUAAAAUAUCCAAUUUAUUUGAAAAACAUAAAAAAUUUAGGCUCAUUAUGUUGAUAAUGUAUUUGAAUAUUAUAACUUUACUAAUGAUGGCUUGUGAUUACUACUGCAACACAAUAUAUAAAAAAAAUAUAUGCUAUUGUUCAUUUCCACAAUCAUAUAUAUAUAUAUAUACACACACGACUAAUUGAUAUAUUGACGACUGAUUGAACAUCUCAGACAUAUAUACGUGUGUGUAUAUACAUUCAUAUACACACGUAUAUAUGUCUGAGAUGUUCAAUUAGUCGUAAACACUAACCACGUUUCAGCUCAGUAACCCGUGUUCGACUUUUUCUUUUGUAUUUUUUUAUGACUGGUCAAGUCACAAAUUUGCAAGUGUGUAUUAGAGUUAAUCGGCACUGUUUCCGUUUUUAACCUAUUUGUUAAAGUUUGAUGUCUAACAAACAAACAAAAAAAAAACAAACACCCGGCCGAAGCGACUGCCGUGCGAUAACCGUGACCGUUGGAAACCACUGAUCAUCUCUGUUCUUGGACGAUUUCAGGUCAUGUCAGUAACUGAGCCGUCUGACUCUCCUGAGGGACAGCAACACGAUUUCACCGUGUUCACUACUUUGGAUGGGGUUUGUUAAAAGAUGUAACCACUUCAUUCGGCUUUAAAUGUUUAAAAAGAAAACAAAAUGGUGUCACAGAAUUGUUUUAACUUUGAUGCCUAAAUUAUUCAGGCAGUAAAACUGUUGUACCUGUGUAACAGGGUCCAAACAAAAACAGAUUUUUCCUCCAUUUUCAAAAGCGUAAAACAGAAAGGAUGUUUAUGAUUCCACACAUUUACUAGGUUACUGUGUAAAUUGGAAGCACCUGUUCAUUCAGAUUGGAAAUCAUCCAGCAUCGUGGUUUGCACACAAGUGCACGCUGUCAUUAAAGCAAAAGAAGGACAUAUCCAUCCAUUUUCUACAAUGCUUACACAGGGUCACAGACAAGGAGCUAUCCCCAGGGACUCUGGGCACAAGAACGAUAAAAUGAAACUGGGCAAACGAAAAGGAAACUGAGAAUUCGUUCAGAAGCGGUACGUCAGCGAUUGCAUCAUCGCUCUGCAUCCAAACUCACGACACUCGACACGACAGCUGCCUUUUGUAGACGUCGAAUUUGCCGGCCGAUCGUCCCGACUUGCGCUGUUUGAGUUUGCGCGUCCAGCCCUGAGGCAGUGAGGGGUCGUCGUACAAAGGCCCGCGAUCUCGGAUGAUGGAUCGCCGCUGCUUGGCCGAGGAA